CCUGACGCCUUGGUCCUGAUUGGCUCGAUGCUCACUCGACGCUUGCCAAAGGCCUUCGCCCAACACUCGCUAGAUGCUUUUAUAGUUAGGAAUGCUCCGACUGGUGUUGAUUCUGAAAGCAUAAAUCAUUGUCCCGCUACAAUCAUCACAAUCGAUGAAGACAUUAGUGAAUUAGUCAGAAUCGAUGACAUCAGUCCCUCGAUACAUGU